GUCACAUACGGCCCACAGUGACGGCGUGGUGGCUGCAACAGAGACAACAACACAGACCUGGCUUUGCUAAAUUGCGCCGUAGCUGGCAGGAAAUCCGUAUUUGCGAGGGGUUUGGUAUAAUAAUGAGAUACUAAACCAGACCAUUCUACGCAGCCACCAAGAAUCAGAAUGUGGGAGGAAGCCAAUGGAACAUUCACCCCCAAGAGCCACGGCGAGAACAAGAAAAUGUCAUACAGGAAGGCUGGAGCUGAGAUUCAAAACCAGAACCUCAAAACUGUGAGGCAGACUUGGUGCUGCAAACAUAAUAAAUCAACAUGUUUUAUUACGAAGAUGAAUUAAGAUGCUAAAAGAUUAGAUUAAAAAUUAUGGAAAAUUCUUUGGUGAUGCUGAAUUAA